rnacentral:rRNA from 1 species
GUUGUGGGCUUGACCCGUGGCUUCCGGAGCUAACGCGUUAAAUCGACCGCCUGGGGAGUACGGCCGCAAGGUUAAAACUCAAAUGAAUUGACGGGGGCCCGCACAAGCGGUGGAGCAUGUGGUUUAAUUCGAUGCAACGCGAAGAACCUUACCUACUCUUGACAUCCAGAGAAUUUGCUAGAGAUAGCUUAGUGCCUUCGGGAACUCUGAGACAGGUGCUGCAUGGCUGUCGUCAGCUCGUGUUGUGAAAUGUUGGGUUAAGUCCCGCAACGAGCGCAACCCUUAUCCUUUGUUGCCAGCGAGUCAUGUCGGGAACUCAAAGGAGACUGCCGGUGAUAAACCGGAGGAAGGUGGGGAUGACGUCAAGUCAUCAUGGCCCUUACGAGUAGGGCUACACACGUGCUACAAUGGCAUAUACAAAGAGAAGCGAACUCGCGAGAGCAAGCGGACCUCAUAAAGUAUGUCGUAGUCCGGAUUGGAGUCUGCAACUCGACUCCAUGAAGUCGGAAUCGCUAGUAAUCGUAGAUCAGAAUGCUACGGUGAAUACGUUCCCGGGCCUUGUACACACCGCCCGUCACACCAUGGGAGUGGGUUGCAAAAGAAGUAGGUAGCUUAACCUUCGGGAGGGCGCUUACCACUUUGUGAUUCAUGACUGGGGUGAAGUCGUAACAAGGUAAC